rnacentral:rRNA from 1 species
AGCAUAUCAAUAAGCGGAGGAAAAGAAACCAACCGGGAUUGCCUUAGUAACGGCGAGUGAAGCGGCAAAAGCUCAAAUUUGAAAUCUGGCGUCUUCGACGUCCGAGUUGUAAUUUGAAGAAGGCGACUUUGUAGCUGGUCCUUGUCUAUGUUCCUUGGAACAGGACGUCAUAGAGGGUGAGAAUCCCGUGUGGCGAGGAUCCCAGUUAUUUGUAAAGUGCUUUCGACGAGUCGAGUUGUUUGGGAAUGCAGCUCUAAGUGGGUGGUAAAUUCCAUCUAAAGCUAAAUAUUGGCGAGAGACCGAUAGCGAACAAGUACAGUGAUGGAAAGAUGAAAAGAACUUUGAAAAGAGAGUGAAAAAGUACGUGAAAUUGUUGAAAGGGAAGGGCAUUUGAUCAGACAUGGCGUUUGCUUCGGCUUUCGCUGGGCCAGCAUCAGUUUUAGCGGUUGGAUAAAUCCUCGGGAAUGUGGCUCUGCUUCGGUAGAGUGUUAUAGCCCGUGGGAAUACAGCCAGCUGGGACUGAGGAUUGCGACUUUUGUCAAGGAUGCUGGCGUAAUGGUUAAAUGCCGCCCG